ensembl:lncRNA
AUUGACAAUGUCCCGAAAGCCGCAUUGUAUCAGAUAUACUUCAUCAUGAGAUUGAAAUUGAUGUGAGACACCAAGGCUGCCAGUACCUCUGGAUCGAUUGUCCAUGUGUUGGAUGAUGCACAACCGUUGAUCAGAACAGACAUUGUAUAAUUGACCAAAGCUAUGCUUGGAUACAAGACUGAUGACUUAAUAACCAGUAUUGACAACAGUGAAGAUGGUUAUGUCCCAGGGCCAUCAGGAUCAUCAGAGCAAGGCAAUUUCUAUGAAGAAAAUCUGACCGGAGAGAUGUCAGCGAUUCGGGCCAAUGACCAAGGGAAAGCUGGGACAAAAGAGAGGUUCACACGGAGACAUGUCAGCGAUUCGGGCCAAACAACCAAUGACCAAGGGAAAACUGGGACAAAAGAGAGGCUCACACGGUGACAAAGCAACAAAAAGGUAUUGGUCGACAAUAGAGGUGGAUGCAGUUGAAGAUUCCUUGAUGAACUUUAUCCAAAUGGGGAAAAGUGCCUGGAAAACGCAUGCAUUUCUGCUUCUCCCCAAGCGCUAGUAAACAGGGACUGCAGAGCAGUACAGUUCUAUGUACACAACAGAAUAGUUGCAGAUCAGAGAAAAUAAGUGUAUGAGAUGCUUCUGGCUCUCUUGAUGUACUUCUGAGGAUUUAAUGGGACUUACUUGCCUUAAGCUCAUAGACAGAUGACGAAUGUCCUCGAUCUCACUGUUCAGGGGAAGUUUUUCCUGGUGGAUGGUUCACUUUUGGAGUGACUAAGGUCUCAAGAAUACAAAGCCUGCUGACUUUGAAUGUUACAGAAAAAUAAAGAAAAUUCUAAACUAUUAAUCUGUUACUUGGAUAUAUUGAAUCCAUUACUAAAAUGGUUGUUCCAGUUUAAAUACUUUAAUGAAG